rnacentral:rRNA from 1 species
UACGAAGGGGGCUAGCGUUGUUCGGAAUUACUGGGCGUAAAGCGCACGUAGGCGGAUUUGUAAGUCAGGGGUGAAAUCCCGGGGCUCAACCUCGGAACUGCCUUUGAUACUGCAAGUCUCGAGUCCGAUAGAGGUGAGUGGAAUUCCUAGUGUAGAGGUGAAAUUCGUAGAUAUUAGGAAGAACACCAGUGGCGAAGGCGGCUUUCUGGCCUGUUCUUGACGCUGAGGCGCGAAAGCUAGGGUAGCAAACGGG